AAAAAAAAAAAAAAAAAUUGAAAACAGAUAUCGAGAUCUAAGUCUGCUAAUUGGAGAAUUAGAUAUCAGAGAAGCAGUUAUACCUAGCUGUAGUUUCUCCGGUACAACUUCCGACGACUUUAGAAACUCUUCUAUCACGUCCGAUGACUAUUUGAUUAAUCGUCGCAGCUGUACAAAGACACUCUUUCAGAUCGUAGUGUCGGUCGGAUUCCGAUGAAGAGAUCACAGAUUUGACAAGCUCACAGCAUAGAUCUUCGGAUUCUACUGGAGAUUCUUCCAUCGGAAAACAAGCAGAAGCAAGGUGCAUGAGCUCCGACGGUAAACAGUUCAAAACUUUUUUCGCCGGAGUUUUAGCAGAUGCAGCGGUGGUAGCUUGUAGAGUGAAGAAAAUAAGGGUAAAUGAAAGUAAAAUAGGUAGAAAAUUUGGGGAUUUUUGGGAAGCCAUAUUUGUUGAAAGAGUGUAGACUCAGUAGAGAAAAUGAG
rnacentral:misc_RNA from 1 species